CAGUAUCUUUGGUCCCACCUUCUGUUCCUCUCAAAUUUGAUACAGAUAGGAGUGCAUGGCCCUACAUGGCAUGGUCAGUCUUUGCCCAUGCUCAAUUAUGAUUUGUACACUAACCCUCUUCAAGUGUUCCAGUUCAGCAACAACAUGGUAGCAUCUCACAUCACCAGCUUCUCCAUACUGCUAUGGAUUAUGGAUUCUGCAAUGACAACUGGUGUGAGCCAGACUCCUCCUGACAUGUUUAAGAACCGAGAGGAUUCUGCUGAGUUCCAAUGCUCACACAACAUCUCAGGCUAUAAUGUAAUCCUGUGGUAUCAACAACCCCAGGCCGGAGGAAUGACACUGCUUGGAUAUGUCUAUAGGAUAACUAAAGUCAAAGAGAAACCAUUUGAACAGAACAUUGAACUGAAUGGAAGUUCUGGUGAAAACGAAAAGAGCUUCAUCACCAUAAAGAACCUGUCUUCAGAUGACAGUGCUUUGUAUUACUGUGCAGCCAGUGUGCACAGUGCCAUACAUCCUGUGCUCUCUUCACAAAAACUGAUUUCCAUCAGCCAUGACAGCUGAUCUUUACCACCGUAAAGCGUUGUGGAUUUAGACGUUUAGACGUUAAGACAGGGAGUGGUUUAACUCUACUGCUGACUCAGCAGAAGCACUUCCUCCAUUUGUACUGGGUGUCUUUGGUGUCAGUAACAUCCAUAU